rnacentral:ncRNA from 1 species
CACUAACUUGAGAGGCAACUCUUAACUGGCCAGAUAAGAAAAGACCGAGAGGUUCAAGCUUAUAGGGCAGAAAGCGGGGGACAGCAGUACUAAACAUUCCCUGUGGCUGAGACGAAGGUAGUACUCCAACAGCGUCUCAA